rnacentral:rRNA from 1 species
UGGGAAUUUGGACAAUGGGCGAAGCCUGAUCCAGCAAUGCCGCGUGUGUGAAGAAGGCCUUCGGGUUGUAAAGCACUUUUGUCCGGAAAGAAAUCCUUGGCUCUAAUACAGUCGGGGGAUGACGGUACCGGAAGAAUAAGCACCGGCUAACUACGUGCCAGCAGCCGCGGUAAUACGUAGGGUGCAAGCGUUAAUCGGAAUUACUGGGCGUAAAGCGUGCGCAGGCGGUUUGCUAAGACCGAUGUGAAAUCCCCGGGCUCAACCUGGGAACUGCAUUGGUGACUGGCAGGCUAGAGUAUGGCAGAGGGGGGUAGAAUUCCACGUGUAGCAGUGAAAUGCGUAGAGAUGUGGAGGAAUACCGAUGGCGAAGGCAGCCCCCUGGGCCAAUACUGACGCUCAUGCACGAAAGCGUGGGGAGCAAACAGGAUUAGAUACCCUGGUAGUCCACGCCCUAAACGAUGUCAACUAGUUGUUGGGGAUUCAUUUCCUUAGUAACGUAGCUAACGCGUGAAGUUGACCGCCUGGGGAGUACGGUC